AAACCCUAACUCAACAAUAUUCAUCAAAUUGAAGGGUGAAUUGAAGCUCAAAUUAUCAACCGAACGUGAAUUAGUGAUCACCAACACAAGGGGAUCAUAAGGCAUAAGGAUCAUGUGGAAAUGUACUCAAGCAAGAAAUGCAAAAGGGUCAAAAGGAGGCAAGGGAACGGACGCAAAAAGGUUGUACGGGUCACGGAGGAUCAUCAAGGAAUAAAGAUCGAGGACUGAGUCACAUGAAGGAUUGUACGGGGUUGUCUAAGGAUGUAAUUUGUUAUACAUAAGUUAUGAUUUAUUCUAUAAUUCAGUUAG